rnacentral:rRNA from 1 species
GAGCGCCCCGCAAGGGGAGCGGCAGACGGGAGAGUAACACGUGGGAACGUACCCUUCGGUUCGGAACAACCCCAGGGAAACUUGGGCUAAUACCGGAUACGUCCGUAAGGAGAAAGAUUCAUCGCCGAAGGAUCGGCCCGCGUCUGAUUAGCUUGUUGGUGAGGUAACGGCUCACCAAGGCGACGAUCAGUAGCUGGUCUGAGAGGAUGAUCAGCCUCACUGGGACUGAGACACGGCCCAGACUCCUACGGGAGGCAGCAGUGGGGAAUAUUGGACAAUGGGCGCAAGCCUGAUCCAGCCAUGCCGCGUGGGUGAUGAAGGCCCUAGGGUUGUAAAGCCCUUUCGGCGGGGAAGAUAAUGACGGUACCCGCAGAAGAAGCCCCGGCUAACUUCGUG